rnacentral:rRNA from 1 species
GGAGUUAGCCGGUGCUUCUUCUGUGAGUGAUGUCCUUCCUGCCGGCUAUUAACCCGCAGGCCUUCUUCCUCACUGAAAGUGCUUUACAACCCGAAGGCCUUCUUCACACACGCGGCAUGGCUGGAUCAGGGUUGCCCCCAUUGUCCAAUAUUCCCCACUGAUGCCUCCCGUAGGAGUCUGGGCCGUGUCUCAGUCCCAGUGUGGCUGAUCAUCCUCUCAGACCAGCUACGGAUCGUCGCCUUGGUGAGCCGUUACCUCACCAACCAGCUAAUCCGACAUAGGCUCAUCCGAUAGCGCGAGGCCCGAAGGUCCCCCGCUUUCCCCCGUAGGGCGUAUGCGGUAUUAGCCUGGGUUUCCCCAGGUUAUCCCCCACUACCGGGCAGAUUCCUAUGCAUUACUCACCCGUCCGCCGCUCGCCACCAGGGAGCAAGCUCCCCGUGCUGCCGCUCGACUUGCAUGUGUUAGGCCUGCCGCCAGCGUUCAAUCUGAGCCAGAAUCGAACCCUGA